UUAAACCUGCUUUUUCACAUUUUCUUUACUUUGUCACAACCUCUUCUUUUCCCUCCUGUGUUUUAUUUCCCUUAAAUAAUCUGAAAACUUUACAGUCUCCAGCAGAUGUCAGUGCAGUCUCACAUCUUUACUUUAUUUCAUCUUCUCCUCAGUUACAGGCUUCCUGGAAGAGGUUUUGCAGCAAGACAUUAACAAAUGCAGCUGGGACAUUACAAGCAAACAUGCAGCAUUGAAGCUGGAAAUGCUGACAUGAUGAUUCCGUCAGAUUAGGAUGUGUGCAGAAUUAUUUAGCUCUCUGGGUUUAAUUUACUCACAGAUUGCCCUAACUAAUCACACGUUGCUCCACAAGGGGCAGCUUCCUGUUAGGAAGUUUAAUCAGACUUGAAGGUUGAAGUUUGAGCACACAUGUGCAGAACUGCUUUUACAACCUGAUUAAUGACAGCAGUGUGGGAAUGAGCAAAAUAAGUCAAAUAGAAAAAAGUUUGUUUUUUUCCAGUGUUUAAUUUCAAGAAAAAUAUGCAAAAUAAUCCUAUAAAUUAGCUUUUUGCAGAAACAAUGCUUUGCAACAUGUCUUUGUUAGGUAUCUGAGGUCCGAUGAGUCUUUUUAGGAGCUGUGGAGCGCUGGUCUUAUUCCUCCACUCAGCUCACGGUCCAGAAAAAGUGAAAUGUAAAAGCAGAAUUUAUCGGAUUUUCCUUCUGAACAUUUGUUUGUAGAAAAGCAGCUUGUAUUUACAGCUGAGGCGCUAAUCGCUUUCACCUCAGCAGGUGUUUGUUGUUCCCUCUGAUUUUGCACCUGACUGGAAAACUCUAAACUUCAUUGGCUUCAACACAUCCUUCCUCAGCGAUGCACUUACAGCGGCACUGUGGAUGGAUUCUACCUCCUGGAGGAGGGAAGAUCCUGUUUUCAACUUAAGGCCCUAAAGCUUUCAGAUGGAGCAUCAGGAUUAGUACCUUCAUCAUAAACCUGCCACAUCCGGUCCUAUAUCUGCUACCUUCUGUUGGGCCGGUGUUGUCAUGUUCCCGAGCCGAGGUGAGUGCUCCUUUUCCAAUCUAACCGUCUCUGAGCUGAUUUCCCACAGGUGAGGAGCGGAGGGGGCUGCAGCUGCACCAGAUUCCCAAUCAGGAACUCGGGUAUAAAAGGAGGAUGGAGACACCUCACUACGCCGGAUGAUUGCUCCAGUUUUGGAUCUCCACACACCCUGCCUCACCCUCGCCAUUUGAACUCCGGAUUACCUGCACCACGUCCCAUCCUCCUCCGUUGUUCCUGUCUGGACCCUCUCUGCUACCUCACCCAUCCCGGAUCGCUCAUCCUCUGCCCGGCCGCUCACCUCGGCUUUCCCGCCGCCCUCGUUCACCACGAACGCUACAUGGACCAGAGCUGUACAGCUCACUCCCCGGUGGACUGGUACUGGACCUCCCAGUGCUACUUCUGUUCCUGUUUUCCAAAUAAAGUACCUUUCUUUAACUCAACCAGUUCGUCGAGUGAUUCUUGGGUUAGACACUUACCUCGGGUCAUGACAGGUGUCCAGCACGUUUUAGUUGUUUCUCUGCAACACUUGAUUCAAACCUGUGCAGCAGCACAUCAGGCUCUGCAGAAGCCUGCUGUUUACCUGCUGAUUUGAAUCAUGUGUUGAAAUGGGGUUAAAACUAAAGCAUGCUGGAUGCCUCCAGGACCUGGAUUGAGUACCACUGCCCUAUUGAGGUAAAAGUUUGAUCUAAAUGUUUUUUAAUGCACUAAUCAUCUAUUUAAACCAGCAACAGAAGUCAUCCUCUCUUUAGAUUUGAAGGAUACAACUCAAUUACGUGGAUCCUGCGAGAAAGAAAGCUUUAAGUUCAUCUCCAGGGUGUGAUGGAGCUGAGAAUUGACUAAAACGUGACCCUCUGAAUAUCUGGAUUGGUGUAAAUGGUUUAUUUUAUU